UGAGUUUUUCAUGCUUGUCUCUCGGGGUCACAAACGAGUUCCUGGUAACUCUCUCGAUCAAUGCCCUGGGUAAAGUCCCCGGGCCUAGGAUAGAAAGUAUCAAGGUGUAAAAUUGCAUGUGUUCUUGCCUGCCUCUCUAGAGAAAGGCGCACAUUCGCCUAUAUUCCGCGGAACUGCGCCUUGCAUAUGAUGAAGAGGGAUCCGCAAGGAUCUCGAAUUAUUACGCUCGGUUGUCUGCGGAAAUCUGCCAGAGUUUCUCACCUAAGAUAUGGACGAGUUGGUUGGCAUUCACCAUGCGUCUACGCUGGGGUUUGUCGCCUACACAGAAUGGGGCUUACAUUGAGAAAUUC
rnacentral:RNase_MRP_RNA from 2 species